rnacentral:rRNA from 1 species
UAGGGAAUCUUCGGCAAUGGGGGCAACCCUGACCGAGCAACGCCGCGUGAGUGAAGAAGGUUUUCGGAUCGUAAAGCUCUGUUGUAAGUCAAGAACGGGUGUGAGAGUGGAAAGUUCACACUGUGACGGUAGCUUACCAGAAAGGGACGGCUAACUACGUGCCAGCAGCCGCGGUAAUACGUAGGUCCCGAGCGUUGUCCGGAUUUAUUGGGCGUAAAGCGAGCGCAGGCGGUUUGAUAAGUCUGAAGUUAAAGGCUGUGGCUCAACCAUAAUUCGCUUUGGAAACUGUCAAACUUGAGUGCAGAAGGGGAGAGUGGAAUUCCAUGUGUAGCGGUGAAAUGCGUAGAUAUAUGGAGGAACACCGGUGGCGAAAAGCGGCUCUCUGGUCUGUAACUGACGCUGAGGCUCGAAAGCGUGGGGAGCGAACAGGAUUAGAUACCCUGGUAGUCCACGCCGUAAACGAUGAGUGCUAGGUGUUGGAUCCUUUCCGGGAUUCAGUGCCGCAGCUAACGCAUUAAGCACUCCGCCUGGGGAGUACGACCGCAAGGUUGAAACUCUAAAGUGAAUUGAC